GAGGGUGGCUGCGGACCGUCCCCUACCGCCCAAGUUUGCAGCUCCUCCUGGCGAGAGUGCUGCAGCUCGGCCAGGAUUCGCCAGUUUUAGACUGAAAGUUUAAGCCGCGCUGCGAUACCUUGGGGCACUGCCGCUGCUCCGUUCACCAGAGCGACAGACGCGCAGAGCCAGGCACCCAGGACGCUGCCGAGCCUCCGCUGCCACAGCCACAUUACGCCUCCCCGUCGCUAUUCCCAGUCACGGCAACUCCUCUCUUCCCGCUCACACAUACACUUUCGUUUUCUCGGCGCCUCUCUGGAGCCGCAUGCGCCUUGUCUUUGGACAAAUCUGCUCCACUGGUGACUGGCUGAGGUUUUGCGUCUGUUUUGUUGGACAAUCCCCUCAUUGCAGGGAAAUCUUAAAAGAGUUUCUUGGAGUUCAAGGUUAGUCGUCAGGAGGCAGCUUGUUCAAGCUAGCAGAGCUUACUGAAAUGGGAAGGGGGUUGGUUUUGGAUUCUGAGGCUGGCGUGGAACGUCAAAGGAAGCCGGACCAGCUCGGAAGCACUCCGCUUUCUUCUGAAAGUCAGGUUUAAGAUUAUUGCGCCUCAAAUCAAAACGGGAAACUGGUGGGAAACAUUGCGGAAAUUGACUUUUUUUUUGCUGUCAGAGUUCCGAAGACGGAUAUGGCGAAGCAUCAUUCCAAAUACAAAUCAAAAAACAUUUGAAGGACUAUUAUCUAUCAGAUUCAUCUGAUUUAGUAAUGUUUUGUAGCGUUGGAUAGAUAGCAUGCAUCAAGACUAACAGAUGAUAAUAAUCUGAGAUGUGCUAUCAAUUAUCUCAGUGUCAUCAUGAUUGUGAAUAUGUUCGCAUCGGACAAUACUAAAACGUCGUGUACUGCCAAGGGCUGAUACAACUGCAUCUCCAGAGUCCAGUGGGAGACCGCUUUGUCCUUCUAGCGUAUGUUCAAUGCUUCAGUCUUACAGAGCCAGGUGUUGUUACUAAACUCACAUCAUCUGUAUCAAUAAUUAUGUUAAUAUAUUGUAUAUCUAUUUUCCAAUCAAUCCUGUAACCCGCUGUGAACUUUAAACCGGCUUUCCGAACAUGGUCAUGUACAAUACUUGUCAGUCACAAAAUAAACAUGAUCUAACAA